GAGUGGAGAAGUUCGCCUCCGCGCGGGUAACGGACUUUCUAAGCGUCAGAGAAGAUGCUGGACAUUUGUUUGCAAAGUUCUCUCAGGCCUCCGAUUUUCUUAUUUUAAGUUUUAGGCGAAACCUCAAGACACACUCCCAGAGAGUCAGACACCUUCCUGAACCCCCCCAGCAAGGUCCCCGGGCAUUCCUGAAGGAAUGUUCAACUGAGGAUGCAGGGCCUCUUAACAGUUAGUCCCGGGCGUUUUUCAGAGCUUGUCUGCUUUAUUUUCCCAGCCUGAGAGAUGAAGAGGUCCAGAGGCAUUGCGGCGGAGCGAGUCCCUAUUUGACCGUGUUGGUGACCUCCUUUCUAACUGUGCCAAUUUUUGUCUCUGAACUUGAAAGCAGCCUUUUUAAAAAACAUUAAUUAAAAUUCUUAAAUUUAUUAAAGGAAGAGAAAGGAAAGUGAAGGAAAAGUUAUUUGCCAUCUGUAUGUAGGAAGUAGAAGUGAAAUCGUUUUUAGAUUUUUCGACUUCAUUUUGUACUGCAUUUGGUAGCCUUUGCGUCAAUUUUGGAAUUUAAAAAAAAGGAUCAAGGCUCUGACAGGGUUUGUUCAUAAUAGCAAAAAUAAAUUUUUGUAGGAAAAACGAGCUUUCUAGUUUAUUUAGGAUUUUGAAAUGCCAUAACUAAAAUUUUUGUGUAUCAGGUUUUCUUUUGCACCUCUGGUAGAAAAAUCUGGCUGCCCUUGGUUCAGUUUUAUUCUUCCACCCUUGAAAUCUGGCCAGGUGCGGUGGCUCACGCCUGUAAUCCCAGCACUUUGGGGGGCCAAGGCGGGCGGAUCACAAGGUCAGGAGAUCGAGACCAUCCUGGCUAACACGGUGAAACCCCGUC
rnacentral:lncRNA from 1 species